rnacentral:misc_RNA from 1 species
GGACCAAGACAAAUCACCUCCACAUGAGCACCCUAUGACAAAACGGCUAACAGGGAUGUAGUAUACACCCAAGGCAACGCCGGCGAGAGCAAUCAAAGCGGCAGAGGAUGGCGGACACACCUCCACGCGCCGGCGAGUGGGACAGCAACAGGAACUUGUGCCAGCGCGUGAGACUCACUCGCCAGCCUUCUGUGACUGGAUUUUUGGGUGAGGUCGCCGGCGAGGGGUCUUCCUUCCUGGGUGGGUAGUGAGACAUAAAUGUCACCUUGAUACGGUGACCUGACUCCACAAUAAUGAUUCUGAUGGUUUUCUCAA